rnacentral:lncRNA from 1 species
AUGAUCGCGGGUAUCGCUGCGCUGCUGUUGUGGCUUCUGGUGCUGGUGCCGGCGUGGUGGGGGUAGGGUGGGUGCCGCGCUCAGAUGCGGGGGUCCCUACCUCCCCGGCCCAGGCUGCUCCCAUUGCUGGGGACCGGCCGCUGGGGCCGGGUGUUCACAGUGCGGCUGGGCCCGCGCCCUGCGGUGGUGCUGUGCGGCUACGCAGCGCUGCGGGACGCGUUAGUGCUACAGGCGGAUGCGGUCUCCGGCCGCGGGUCCAUGGCAGUCUUCGAACGCUUCACACGCGGUUUCUAACCGGCCGUGCUGGUGGACACUGCGCAAUUUUGCACUUGGAGCGCCGAAGAAGUUCGGGUUGGAUACGCGGACCAUCGAGGCGCGUGUCCUGGAUGAGGCGGCUUGUCUGCUAGACGAAUUUCAAGCCACCUUGUCUUCGGGAACCGCUAUGGCUACGGGGACCCGGAGUUCCUCUCAUGGACUGGCUCCCGGGCCCGCACCACCAAAUCUUCCAAAACUUUUCAGAGCUGCAGGUCUUCAUCUCUGAGCAAAUCCAACAACACUGGCACAUGAGGCAGCCGGCGGAGCCCCGCGAUUUCAUCGAUUUUUGGUGGCACAGAAACCACGAGCACCACCCUGUGCUCCAUAUGGGCUCCUCAUUCUGCUUAAGUACCCAGAGGUGGCAGGUCUGCGAGCCAGAGACCCUGUGGUAGGGCAGAGGCCUGUCCCAAGCCCGGACGACCACGUGCAAUGGCCCUACACCAACGCAGUGCUGCUGGAGAUCCAGCGCUUCAUCAGCGUGGUGCCGCGCACCCUCACCCUC